rnacentral:rRNA from 1 species
CAGCGCCACGAGUGGGGAUCCUGUUUAUUUGGCCUAAAGCGUCCGUAGCUGGUUUAGUAAAUCUCUUGUGAAAUCGUUAAGCUCAACUUAACGGCGUGCAGGAGAGACUGCUAGGCUAGGGACCGGGAGGAGUCAGAGGUAUGCCUGGGGGAGCGGUAAAAUGCUAUAAUCCCUAGUAGACCACCUAUGGCGAAGGCAUCUGACUAGAACGGGUCCGACAGUGAGGGACGAAAGCCAGGGGAGCAAACCGGAUUAGAUACCCGAGUAGUCC